AAAGUAAUGCCGACCUCCUAGGGUGGUUUUCAGGAUUAAUUGGGCUAAGGCUAACAUAAGUAUGUGGAGUAGUCAGCAAAGAGCUCAGCAAAGGUCAGCUGAAUUGUGACCCCAUCCUCACCCCGUCUUCCAGAUGUACGAGUCUGAUGGCUCCGUCAUGGUCUAUUGGCACGCCCUGGACUCUGGAGAUGCCUCUCUAGUACAGGCUGUGUUUGCCCGAGGAAUUGCUGCCAGUGGUCACUUCAUCUGUGUGGGAGCGUGGUCAGGCCGGGUACUGGUGUUUGACAUCCCAGCCAAGGGUCCCCACAUCGUUCUGAGUGAAGAGCUGGCUGGACACCAGACACCAGUCACAGACAUUGCCACCGAGCCCGCCCAGGGCCAGCCACUGCAUGAUGCGAGGAUAUUCAGGCAGCCCCAUGGAGAGGCCCAGGUAAAGAGGAACAGAAACUGACUGCCAACAGGCACCAUCAAUUUGCCAGUCAUGGGAGUAAGGCAUCCUUGAAGUGGAUCCUCCAGCCCCAGUUAAGCUUUCAGAUGGUUGUAGCCCCAUCCAGUAACUUGACUGUAACCUCAAGAGAGAUGGAGCCAGACUACCCAGUUAAGCUAUUCCUGAAUUGCUGACAAAGGGAAACCGUGAGGGUCAACAUUAUCAACAUUCUGGUUCCAGCUCAUGUGGGGUCUACAGCUAACUUCUCCCACCUGGGGGAGUUUCAGUCUUUGCAAAAAACAGGUCAAAAGAUGUGGCUCAGAAUAUUACCUAUAGCCCUUGAGGAAGAACUAAAGGUCCUUCAUUUAAUGGCUAAACUGUUAUUGUUUUGUCUUGCUUGACUAUUCUCCUUUCUGCAUUUUCUCACUUCUCUGAUUAAAUGUAUUCUUUGGAACUCAGGGAAGGCCUAGGAGGCUAAAGUUUUUCUACAAACAAGAGGCUGGCAGAGGACGGGGGUGUGGGGUCUGUUCUGGGAAGGACCCAUAGGGUCCUGCUCAGUUACAAUAGUAAAUGUUAUUGGUGUUUUAAGCUACUAUAUUAUGCUGUAAUAAUUUGUUACUUGUUAUGCAGCCUAGAUAACUAAUAUAACAGGGGAUGAAAGAGGGGAAAGCAAAGAUUACCUCCAAGGCUUGAAGGAGGAGCAGAGGUUGGGAAGGGAGAAAUAGCAAAUUAUGCUCAGGCCCUGUGUUUGUCUUGUCUGCAGAAUAUCCAAGUGGACAUGUCCAUUGGCGGUUUUUUAUCUUUCAUCCUCAAAGUCCUACUUAUUCUUUAACACUUAGUUCAGAUGUCACUUCUGUGAAACCUUGAUUUUUCCAGGCAAAACCUAUCCCUACUGAGCAUUAAUUGCACAUUAUUAUAGUAAAUAUGAAUCACUUUGUAUUGCAAUUAUCUAUUUGCAGUUAUUUGUUUAUGUAUCUGUCUUAUUUCACUAUGAGCUCCCUAAAGCCAAGG